rnacentral:rRNA from 1 species
CAGUAGCCGCGGGAAUACGUAGGUGGCAAGCGUUGUCCGGAAUUAUUGGGCGUAAAGCGCGCGCAGGUGGUUUAAUAAGUCUGAUGUGAAAGCCCACGGCUCAACCGUGGAGGGUCAUUGGAAACUGUUAAACUUGAGUGCAGGAGAGAAAAGUGGAAUUCCUAGUGUAGCGGUGAAAUGCGUAGAGAUUAGGAGGAACACCAGUGGCGAAGGCGGCUUUUUGGCCUGUAACUGACACUGAGGCGCGAAAGCGUGGGGAGCAGACAGGAUUAGAUACCCCUGUAGUCCCUGUCUCUUAUAC